rnacentral:rRNA from 1 species
AGAGUUUGAUCCUGGCUCAGGACGAACGCUUGCGGCGUGCCUAAGAAAUGCAAGUCGAACGGACAAGGCAGCAAUGUCUUGUUAGUGGCGAACGGUCGCGUAACACGUAGGCAACCUGCCCAGAAGUGGGGGAUAACAGCCCGAAAGGGUUGCUAAUACCGCAUGUGGCCAACAGAUCGCAUGGUUUGUUGUCCAAAGGCUUUCAGCAAUGGGAGUCGCUUUUGGAUGGGCUUGCGGCCUAUCAGCUUGUUGGUGGGGUAAUGGCCUACCAAGGCGUUGACGGGUAGCUGGUCUGAGAGGAUGUCCAGCCGGAUUGGGACUGAGAUACGGCCCAGACUCCUACGGGGGGCAGCAAUUAGGAAUCUUGCGCAAUGGGCGAAAGCCUGACGCAGCGACGCCGCGUGGGGGAGGAAGGCCUUCGGGUCGUAAACCCCUUUUAACGGGGAAGAAGAAUGUGACGGUACCCGUUGAAUAAGCCCCGGCUAACUACGUGCCAGCAGCCGCGGUAAUACGUAGGGGGCGAGCGUUGUCCGAAGUUACUGGGCGUAAAGCGCGCGUAGGCGGCUUGGCAAGUCUGAGGUGAAAGGUUCAACGCUCAACGUGAACAGUGCCUUGAAGACUGCCUGGCUUGAGGACGGAAGAGGAAAGCGGAAUUCCGGGUGUAGCGGUGAAAUGCGUAGAUAUCCGGAGGAACACCAAUGGCGAAGGCAGCUUUCUGGUCCGUAUCUGACGCUGAGGUGCGAAAGCGUGGGGAGCGAACGGGAUUAGAUACCCUAGUAGUCC